GUGCCAGCAGCCGCGGUAAUACGAAGGGUGCAAGCGUUACUCGGAAUUACUGGGCGUAAAGCGUGCGUAGGUGGUGAGUUAAGUCUGUCGUGAAAGCCCCGGGCUCAACCUGGGAAUGGCGAUGGAUACUGGCUCGCUAGAGUGCGGUAGAGGAGAGUGGAAUUCCCGGUGUAGCAGUGAAAUGCGUAGAGAUCGGGAGGAACAUCAGUUGCGAAGGCGGCUCUCUGGACCAGCACUGACACUGAGGCACGAAAGCGUGGGGAGCAAACAGGAUUAGAUACCCUGGUAGUCC
rnacentral:rRNA from 1 species